rnacentral:rRNA from 1 species
UACGUAGGGUGCAAGCGUUGUCCGGAAUUAUUGGGCGUAAAGAGCUCGCAGGCGGUCUGUCGCGUCUGCUGUGAAAACUCGGGGCUUAACCCCGGGCCUGCAGUGGGUACGGGCAGACUAGAGUGCGGUAGGGGAGACUGGAAUUCCUGGUGUAGCGGUGAAAUGCGCAGAUAUCAGGAGGAACACCGGUGGCGAAGGCGGGUCUCUGGGCCGAUAUUGACGCUGAGGAGCGAAAGCGUGGGGAGCAAACAGG